rnacentral:rRNA from 1 species
UACGUAGGGGGCAAGCGUUAUCCGGAAUUAUUGGGCGUAAAGAGCGCGCAGGUGGUUAAUUAAGUCUGAUGUGAAAGCCCACGGCUUAACCGUGGAGGGUCAUUGGAAACUGGUUGACUUGAGUGCAGAAGAGGGAAGUGGAAUUCCAUGUGUAGCGGUGAAAUGCGUAGAGAUAUGGAGGAACACCGGUGGCGAAGGCGGCCUGCUGGACUGUGACUGACGUUGAGGCCCGAAGGCGUGGGGAGCAAACAGG